GAGGUGGGUCGGCAAGGGAGCGAGGAGGAGGAGAGCCGUCUGAUGAGAACGAUGAGGGACGCAUACGACGGUACGUUUAUGUGCAGUGGGGGGUAUACAAGGGAGCUGGGUGUCGAGGCUGUGGCCACUGGGGCUGCCGACCUGGUUUCGUUCGGUCGGCUUUUUAUUUCGAACCCGGACCUGAUGGUCCGGUUCAAGGAAGGAGCGAGCUUGAACCGGUAUGUGCGGUCCACGUUCUAUACGCAGGAUCAGGUGGUGGGAUACACGGACUACCCGUUCUUGGGCCAGACCCAGGCUCAGGUCCGGUCCCGGCUUUGAAAAAG
rnacentral:misc_RNA from 1 species